rnacentral:rRNA from 1 species
UACGUAGGGUGCGAGCGUUAAUCGGAAUUACUGGGCGUAAAGUGUGCGCAGGCGGCAGAGCAAGUCGAGUGUGAAAGCCCCGGGCUUAACUUGGGAAUUGCGCUCGAAACUACUUUGCUGGAGUGUGGCAGAGGAAGGUGGAAUUCCACGUGUAGCGGUGAAAUGCGUAGAGAUGUGGAGGAACACCAAUGGCGAAGGCAGCCUUCUGGGCCAACACUGACGCUCAUGCACGAAAGCGCGGGGAGCAAACAGG